UACAGAGGUCUCAAGCGUUGUUCGGAUUCAUUGGGCGUAAAGGGUGCGUAGGCGGCGCGGUAAGUCGGGGUGUGAAAUCUCGGAGCUUAACUCCGAAACUGCAUUCGAUACUGCCGUGCUUGAGGACUGGAGAGGAGACUGGAAUUUACGGUGUAGCGGUGAAAUGCGUAGAUAUCGUAAGGAAGACCAGUGGCGAAGGCGGGUCUCUGGACAGUUCCUGACGCUGAGGCACGAAGGUCAGGGGAGCAAAACGGGG
rnacentral:rRNA from 1 species